rnacentral:rRNA from 1 species
GAUGAACGCUGGCGGCGUGCCUAAUACAUGCAAGUAGAACGCUGAAGGAAGGAGCUUGCUCUUUCCGGAUGAGUUGCGAACGGGUGAGUAACGCGUAGGUAACCUGCCUGGUAGCGGGGGAUAACUAUUGGAAACGAUAGCUAAUACCGCAUAACAGUAGAUGUUGCAUGAUAUCUACUUAAAAGGUGCAAUUGCACCACUACCAGAUGGACCUGCGUUGUAUUAGCUAGUUGGUGAGGUAACGGCUCACCAAGGCGACGAUACAUAGCCGACCUGAGAGGGUGCUCGGCCACACUGGGACUGAGACACGGCCCAGACUCCUACGGGAGGCAGCAGUAGGGAAUCUUCGGCAAUGGACGGAAGUCUGGCCGAGCAACGCCGCGUGAGUGAAGAAGGUUUUCGGAUCGUAAAGCUCUGUUGUAAGAGAAGAACGAGUGUGAGAGUGGAAAGUUCACACUGUGACGGUAUCUUACCAGAAAGGGACGGCUAACUACGUG